rnacentral:lncRNA from 1 species
CGCGGCGACAGCGCCCCCGGGUCCCCGCGCCCGGCCGCCUCUCCUCCGGCCGGCCGCGCGGUGGCUGUGGCCGUGACGUCCGCUCAGCCUCUGCAGGUGUUCAAGGCCCGGAGAUCCUCGGGGUGGAAGUUAAGGUUCUGACUCCUGAAAGGGCAGCAUCCACCUGAACGCUGUAAGAUGCGACUCGGGCUGGGUGGCUGAUUCGCUGCGGCAGGGACGCGGCGCUUCCUUUCUAGCGCGCACCCAGCGAGGGUUACGGAGGAGGAGGUGACUUGGGGGCGGCGGCGGCACAGCCCUGGGCGCGGAGCCGUGGGGAAAGACCAUCUCCCGCUUUCAAACCAGACCUAAAAUAACGCACCCGUGAACGCCGGUCAGGAGAGCACACACUGGCAUGUAUGACAUCUUGGAUUUGAUCCCCAGCACUGCCAAAAAUACAAUAAAACAACACAUAGAGGCUGUGUAGCACUGUGCUGUAAAAACAAAGAGUAUAAACGUGGGAGCCCGAGGGAAAUCUGCACGUGUGAGGUUCAUCGCAGCAGGAGUCAUUGGGAUUCCAGCCGUUCUCCGUCACUCAAGUACAGCAGACCUGCCUGCGCUCAGUGGCUUUUCUCCGUGGUGAGGAGACUGCCCCCAUGCACGGAAACAGUGUGGUCAGCAGUUUGGGUCUACUUUCCAAGGGCUAAAGAUACAUGGGGGAAAUGAGUCUCCUCUCCACUAAGAGCUUGCUUCCCGAACCCGUUUGACUGUGUGGAGAUAUCAGUAUUAAUUCGGAAAGAUUAUACCUAGCCAGGGGUUACCUUUCAACAUACAAAGCAAGAUUCUCCUGGUAAAAAUAUUUUCAGUUUACAAGACUAAUGAAUAAGACAUCUAUAUUUUAAGUCCAGUAUCUGUUGCCACCCUAGAUUCUACUUAUUUUUCUUUGUGAUUUUACUAAAGACGUAUAUAAACAUUUCUGCAUUGUACUUAUACUUAAGCAUAAUAUAAACAUUAUCAUACUACUUGUAUUCUUUUACAGCUUGCCUUUUUGACUUAACAUUUUUUUAAAUCCAGAUAUAAUUCAUAUAAUUCAGUUGUUUUCAGUACAUUCACAAAGUUGUGAAAUCAUCACUAAUGUCUAAAUCUGGAACUUUUUUGUCACCCCAAAAAGACACUUCCAGAACCCUUUUCAGAAUUUCCCUCCCCAGUUUCUGCCAGCCACAGCUUUCUGCCUGUGUCCCAUGAUUUGGAGAAAUAUCUAUUUUCACUCACCUAGCUAUAGUUCAUUCAUUUUAACUGUAAUACAUGUAUAAAGAUUUUCACAUCUGUGAAUGGAAAUAUGUUAUAGUUGUUUAUAUUUAAAUUUUAAUAUUAGUAUUUUGAAAAGCACAUUUAAACAUUUAAAAUUUCUUUUAGCAAAUAUUGUGUAUACAUAUAUAUUCUUAUAAGCUGUUUUCUAGACAGAAAGUGGAAUUUCCUGUUAAUCCCACCUGCCUUUUGUUUAAGAGGGUGUACAAAUUCAUAAUUCCACUAGCAGCACUGACUUUUAAAAUUCUUACCCAUUGAGCUAUAUAGUCAGUGUUUAUAAACAUCUAAUAUUGUUGCUUUAUGAAAAUAUUUUCAUUUAUUACUUGUCUUUUCAUUUUCUUUAGGUUGUCUAUUGAAUAAGCCGAAAUUCUGAACUUUAUGCAAGUUUGAAUGUAUCAAUUUUUCCUUUUAGGUUCUGUACUUUUCUGAUUGGUUUAAGUUUUUUCUCUUCCAAAUUCCCAAGUAUUUAUUCCUUCAUUUCCUUUCUCUAUUUUUGGCUGAUUUCACCUCCACUAUAUGUUUGCAUAUAAUAGUGGCUAAAAUUCAUUGUUUUCCUUCUAAUUUCUUUUUUCUUUUUGAACCUAAUGUAAUACAUGUAGAUAUUAAUAAAGAAAAUAUGAAAAGCACUCUCUUCCUUUGAUAAAAAAUUUUUAAAUCUCAUAAUAAAAUACUUAGAAUAACUAGUUAAUGCACUGUGUACCAUGAUCUUAUAUGAGAAACUCAAAAUAUGAACAUACACUGGUAUAAAUAAACAGCAAAAUAGAAGAUAGAGAAAUGAGAAGUAGAGAGGAGUUCAAAUGAUUCCCCUCAAUUCUCUAUUCCACAGUUUCAAAAAUAGUUCAGUAUGUAUGGUCAUUUGUCUCAUGUAUACUACUAGUUUCUCUUCGUUGAUUGAAAAGGUUUGUGCUAUUAUCUGUUUCUUUUUUGUAAGGGAGUCCUUUCCGUCUCUGACUUGUACUCUGAGUAACAUUUUGGCCAUUUUUCUUUGGCUCUGCGGCUUUCAUGGACUCUUUCUGACUUUCACCCCAACAGAGCAGCCACAUCUCUGCCUCCAUCCUUUCCUGCUGCCUUCCGUGUGCUUAGGGUCCCCCGGCCCGGUCCGUGCUGCCUGGGCGUGUAUUUCUACAGCGCGGCUCUGCCUGCUGAGCCACUCCCCGCCAGCUCUGCACGAGCGAUGUGGAUUUGCUAACCCUUCCUUCUCUCAUUUUAGAAUUAGCUUUCAGGGUUUAAAUACUUUUAGAAAGCUUGCUCAUCAAUAGGACACUUGGUUCUCAUGCCCACAAAAAUGGCACUCCAUGCUUUUAGGUGAUUUUAAAUUUACUUUGUGUAAAGUUUUAUGAUUUUCCACAGAGGUCUUAAAUAUAUUUUGUUAGAUUUAUUCCUAGCACUGGAAAUAUUUUGUCACUCUUGUAAAACAAUGUCUG